UACGGAGGAUGCAAGCGUUAUCCGGAAUCAUUGGGCGUAAAGCGUCCGUAGGUGGCUGUUCAAGUCUGCGGUCAAAGCACAAGGCUUAACCUUGUAAAGGCCGUGGAAACUGAAGAAGCUAGAGUGCGGUAGGGGUAGAGGGAAUUCCCAGUGUAGCGGUGAAAUGCGUAGAGAUUGGGAAGAACACCGGUGGCGAAGGCGGCCACCUGGACGGUAACUGACGCUGAGACGCGAAAGCGUGGGGAGCAAACAGG
rnacentral:rRNA from 1 species